GGUACACAGGAUGACAGAAUUUACUCAUGUUUCUACUUACAGGCAGAGGCUACAGGACAGAAGGAGGUUCUUGACUUCCUUAGACAAAAACAAUAAGAAAGGGGCUGUAGAAGAUGGUCAUCAGGAAUACCAGCUUGAAGCAUUAAUGGUGUUAAGCCAUUAUGGGAGGAAAAGAGGAAAGGAACAAUGGUAGCGCUGCUUGGGGCAUGCAGGAAAGCUACGGCUUAGAAAAAUUCUUUAUUUAGGAUUGCACUGAUUGUCUAAAAAUAAUUUGCUGCCUUUAUUUUUUAAUCACUUUUCUGGAAAGAAUUUUUUUUAGGCAAGUGAGGUUGGAAUGCUUGGCUGUUCCUGUUACAAGUUCUGAUUUUAAAGAGGCCUUUUGAAUGUUAUGUUAAACCUCUGAGGACAGUAUUGCAGGCAUAGCAAAUGGAAAUACUGUGGUGAAUUCAUACCAAGGAAAAACAGUGAAUUGUGCAUUUCUGGGUUUCAACUAAUAAAAUCUCUGAGGAACAAUGUUGA